AACGAACGCUGGCGGCAUGCCUAACACAUGCAAGUCGAACGAGACCUUCGGGUCUAGUGGCGCACGGGUGCGUAACGCGUGGGAACCUGCCCUUGGGUUCGGAAUAACUCCCCGAAAGGGGUACUAAUACCGGAUAAUGUCUUCGGCCCAAAGAUUUAUCGCCUUUGGAUGGGCCCGCGUUGGAUUCGGUAGUUGGUAGGGUAAAAGCCUACCAAGGCGACGAUCCAUAGCUGGUCUGAGAGGAUGAUCAGCCACACUGGGACUGAGACACGGCCCAGACUCCUACGGGAGGCAGCAGUGGGGAAUAUUGGACAAUGGGCGAAAGCCUGAUCCAGCAAUGCCGCGUGAGUGAUGAAGGCCUUAGGGUUGUAAAGCUCUUUUACCCGGGAUGAUAAUGACAGUACCGGGAGAAUAAGCUCCGGCUAACUCCGUG
rnacentral:rRNA from 1 species